UACGUAGGGCGCAAGCGUUGUCCGGAAUUAUUGGGCGUAAAGAGCUCGUAGGCGGUUUGUCGCGUCUGCUGUGAAAACCUAAGGCUCAACCUUGGGCUUGCAGUGGGUACGGGCAGACUAGAGUGCGGUAGGGGUGACUGGAAUUCCUGGUGUAGCGGUGGAAUGCGCAGAUAUCAGGAGGAACACCGGUGGCGAAGGCGGAUCUCUGGGCCGUAACU
rnacentral:rRNA from 1 species